UGCUUUUCUGGAGCCAGAAGUGCCCAUAUUUGGAGGAGAGGGUGAUGCUGUCGCUCCCUCUUCACUCCUCCCCAGGUGACGAUUAUGAGUGACAUGAUCCUAAUGUCUCCACUUCAUACUCCGCUGCACUCAGACAAGAAAAAAAAGACAUUGGUGUAAGAAGGAGGGAAGCAUCCUCUCCCUACUUCCAAUCCCCCCCCCUCCCUAACUCCCAACCCCAUCUCCGCUCUCUGUAGGCAGACAGGGUGGAGGUCUCACCCUGUGACAUCACGGCUCCCUGCUUGUCUCAUGGCAGCUCAGAUUUCUGCACCAAGGAUUAGAUUAGGCUCAUAUUGACUGGCUGACUCACUGUCCUUGAGUUAUGUUGCACCAUGAAGGGGAGGCUAGAUUGCUAUGUGGUCAAGGAGGGGUGGAUCUAAAUUGGAUUUUUGCUCAGAUGGAGAUAAAUCUAAAAUGAACCCGGAUAGAUUCUCUCCUCACUCCGCAGCACAGUUUCUAAUGUGAUUUGUAAUAUAAAGCACUACUUUGUCUUUUAAUAAAAGUAUCAUCAUUUCA